AAAUUGAAGAGUUUGAUCAUGGCUCAGAUUGAACGCUGGCGGCAGGCCUAACACAUGCAAGUCGAACGGUAACAGGAAACAGCUUGCUGUUUCGCUGACGAGUGGCGGACGGGUGAGUAAUGUCUGGGAAACUGCCUGAUGGAGGGGGAUAACUACUGGAAACGGUAGCUAAUACCGCAUAACGUCGCAAGACCAAAGAGGGGGACCUUCGGGCCUCUUGCCAUCGGAUGUGCCCAGAUGGGAUUAGCUUGUUGGUGGGGUAACGGCUCACCAAGGCGACGAUCCCUAGCUGGUCUGAGAGGAUGACCAGCCACACUGGAACUGAGACACGGUCCAGACUCCUACGGGAGGCAGCAGUGGGGAAUAUUGCACAAUGGGCGCAAGCCUGAUGCAGCCAUGCCGCGUGUAUGAAGAAGGCCUUCGGGUUGUAAAGUACUUUCAGCGGGGAGGAAGGGAGUAAAGUUAAUACCUUUGCUCAUUGACGUUACCCGCAGAAGAAGCACCGGCUAACUCCGUGCCAGCAGCCGCGGUAAUACGGAGGGUGCAAGCGUUAAUCGGAAUUACUGGGCGUAAAGCGCACGCAGGCGGUUUGUUAAGUCAGAUGUGAAAUCCCCGGGCUCAACCUGGGAACUGCAUCUGAUACUGGCAAGCUUGAGUCUCGUAGAGGGGGGUAGAAUUCCAGGUGUAGCGGUGAAAUGCGUAGAGAUCUGGAGGAAUACCGGUGGCGAAGGCGGCCCCCUGGACGAAGACUGACGCUCAGGUGCGAAAGCGUGGGGAGCAAACAGGAUUAGAUACCCUGGUAGUCCACGCCGUAAACGAUGUCGACUUGGAGGUUGUGCCCUUGAGGCGUGGCUUCCGGAGCUAACGCGUUAAGUCGACCGCCUGGGGAGUACGGCCGCAAGGUUAAAACUCAAAUGAAUUGACGGGGGCCCGCACAAGCGGUGGAGCAUGUGGUUUAAUUCGAUGCAACGCGAAGAACCUUACCUGGUCUUGACAUCCACGGAAGUUUUCAGAGAUGAGAAUGUGCCUUCGGGAACUGUGAGACAGGUGCUGCAUGGCUGUCGUCAGCUCGUGUUGUGAAAUGUUGGGUUAAGUCCCGCAACGAGCGCAACCCUUAUCCUUUGUUGCCAGCGGUCCGGCCGGGAACUCAAAGGAGACUGCCAGUGAUAAACUGGAGGAAGGUGGGGAUGACGUCAAGUCAUCAUGGCCCUUACGACCAGGGCUACACACGUGCUACAAUGGCGCAUACAAAGAGAAGCGACCUCGCGAGAGCAAGCGGACCUCAUAAAGUGCGUCGUAGUCCGGAUUGGAGUCUGCAACUCGACUCCAUGAAGUCGGAAUCGCUAGUAAUCGUGGAUCAGAAUGCCACGGUGAAUACGUUCCCGGGCCUUGUACACACCGCCCGUCACACCAUGGGAGUGGGUUGCAAAAGAAGUAGGUAGCUUAACCUUCGGGAGGGCGCUUACCACUUUGUGAUUCAUGACUGGGGUGAAGUCGUAACAAGGUAACCGUAGGGGAACCUGCGGUUGGAUCACCUCCUUA
rnacentral:rRNA from 1 species